CGCCCGGUGCUGCGCACGGCGGCGGCAGCGGGCCGGCCGGCGACCGUCCUCGACGUCGGCGCCGGCGGCGGGGACGUGGCUCGGUCCCUCGCUCGCCGG
rnacentral:tRNA from 1 species